CCUACGGGGCGCUGCAGUGGGGAAUAUUGGACAAUGGGCGAAAGCCUGAUCCAGCCAUGCCGCGUGUGUGAAGAAGGCCUUCGGGUUGUAAAGCACUUUCAGUGGGGAAGAAAGCCUUGGGGCUAAUACCCUCGAGGAAGGACAUCACCCACAGAAGAAGCACCGGCUAACUCCGUGCCAGCAGCCGCGGUAAUACGGAGGGUGCGAGCGUUAAUCGGAAUUACUGGGCGUAAAGCGCGCGUAGGCGGUCUGAUAAGCCGGUUGUGAAAGCCCCGGGCUCAACCUGGGAACGGCAUCCGGAACUGUCAGGCUAGAGUGCAGGAGAGGAAGGUAGAAUUCCCGGUGUAGCGGUGAAAUGCGUAGAGAUCGGGAGGAAUACCAGUGGCGAAGGCGGCCUUCUGGACUGACACUGACGCUGAGGUGCGAAAGCGUGGGUAGCAAACAGGAUUAGAUACCCCAUAUC
rnacentral:rRNA from 1 species